ensembl:lncRNA
AGAAGUCGCCUGUAUCAAUUAAUUCACGGUUAAAGAGUACAUUGCUGUGAAAUUCAAUCAACUGUUUGAUUUUGAGAACUGCUUUGGUUUCCAUUGAGGAUGGUCCAGCUCGCUGUGCGUCCAGGACUUGGAGAGACACUCGAGCAGAAUUAAACUGGCUGCGGGUUCUUGGAAAUCCACCAGAGAACAACUGGCACCGAACGCUCUCCUCAAGGUGAUGAACAUGCCUGGUGGGACCACCUUGAAAUGCCACACACCAUAACGGUUUGAGUAGAGGCCAAACAGACGACCACAGUAGG